CGGCAAACGAACAACAUCACCUGGAACAAAUAUUUUUCAUCUCCAAUACGGUCCAGGAAGUACUUCCACGUCUCUUGGAAUAUAUGCUUGCGGUAGGUGCGAUAGAAAAAGGAAAUCGGCUGACGAACAUUUAUUAUUCGAGUCACGAUUUCCGGACGUUCCUUCCAUGUGAAAACAUUCCGCGAUACAAUAGAGACAAGCAGUCGUAGUCAGGACUUCUUUCAGUCGUGAAAAUGCAGUGAGAAACAAUUAUCCAUCGACCAGCAGUGUUAUAAGUACAAAUAUAUAUAUAAAAAAAAGAACAACAACAAUUAUUUUCAAAAACAUGAUGAAAUAAGGAACCAUAAUUUUGUGACGCUACUGAAGAUUUGCAAUGGCCCCACGUGGUUGUGUGUUUGAAUGUGUACGAAGGGAUAUAUAUUUGUGCGCGGUCCAAUCAUCGCAGAAUUCAGAGCAUCAUCCCCCUUUUUUGACGCACUCGCCCCGGGGAUACGCGAUGGAAGCCGACGAGGAGACGCCGCUUCCAAACCCCCCCCCCCCACCACCUCCUCCUCCUCUUCUUCCCUCAUCCACGGACGAUUCGCAGAAUUUCUAAAGGAGAGUCGUCGCGAUUCCAUCUCUUCGACGACAAAAAGGAUAUAGUCAAGUGGCCGUUCAAAGAGGGGCGUUGUCCUGCGUCCGAAAAAUCACCCCACAUAAGCAUCAUCCUCAUCUCAACUAUACAGAGGGUCAUACGCACAACAUCCGCAGUGAACCAUACUCUAAGCCAAGGGUCACCUCGCGGAUCUCCAUAAAGUCAUUCGACAGUAUCUAUAUAUAUAUAUAUAUAUAUAGAGAGAGAGAGAGAGAGAAAAAGAGAGGGAGGGAGAGAGAGAAAGAAAUUUUUUCACAAUUUACUAUAACCUUCAAGUGUUACUCACAAAAAAAUUGGGUCCGUAUUAUUUUUGACAGAAAUUUUUUUUUUUUUAAUAAUUUUUAUAUAUAAAAUCGAUGAUUUGUUUUGUAUACAAAGUUUAAAAUUCAAAAUUUUUUGUUAUUUUUUUAUUUUUUAAAUUAAAAUUUCAAAAAUAAAAAUUUUGAAUUUUCUUGAAUUGAAUGAAAAUCGAAAAUUUUUUUUGAAUUAUAUUUUUAAAAUUAAAUUAAAUUUUCGUUUAUAUUUAAGAAAUUGUGACAAAUUUUUUUUUUUUUUUUUUGACAAAAUAAUACUGAAAAACAACCCCUUGGAUUCAUUACACAGACACCAAUCCACCCUUUUUACAUAUGGCACUUUUAUUAUUUCAUUGAAAAUCACGCAUGAGAGGAAAAAUCAUUUUUUUUUUGUUUGUAAACGUGAAGUUGAAAUUUCAAGUUAUUAGUGACGUUUGAGUGACAUAUAUUUACUAAAGGCAAGUUAGAUCCAAUUUUUUAUUAAAAAAGUUUACUAAAAGAAAUACAAAAUUCUUCUUUUAUUAAAAACAAGCAGAAAUUUUUUUUUUACUAUUUAUUUAUAUAUAUAUAUAUAUAUAUAUAUAAUCAAUAUCUUAGUUUUGGUGAACGAAAUUUUGAUUUUUUGUCAAGAGACAGUUUUCUGAAAUAGAAUUUUUAAAAAUUAGACAAAUUUGAAUUAUUCUUGUCUGACUGUAACAUACUUUUGCUACUGAUACAAAAAUUUUUUUUUGAAGACUACUACUAAAAUAGUACAGUCUGACUAAAAAUUACUUUUACUACUGAUAUUGAAACUACGAGAAUUUAAGUAAUUGACUGACUGAAAAUUACUACUACUACUAAAACUGCAUAAAUAGUUUAUAAAUUUACAAGGUUUUCUGUCUGACCAAAACUUUUUUUACUACUAAAAUUUAAACUACAAUAAUAUUUACAGUUGUCUUACUAAAAAUUACUUCUACCACUGGAGAGUAGAAAAAUAAUUUUAAAAAUUACAAACUAUUCUAUCAGAACAAAACAUACUGAUACUAAAACUAAAAACAACUAAAAUAAAUUUUUUACAGGUGACUGACUAAAAAAUUAUAUUUACUACUAAAACUAAAUCUGCAUGUAUUUUGUAGAUGUCUGACCAAAACUUACUUUUACUACUAAUACUGAAAGUACAAUAAUUUUUCUAAUUGUUUGACUAAAAGUUCUUUCCAAUACUGAUACUAAAACUACAAAAAUUUUAAUAGUUGUCUGACCAAAAAUCACUUCUACUACUAAUAUUGAAAGUACAAGUAUUUUAGAAAUUGACUGACUAAAAAUUACUUUUACUACUGAUAUUGAAACUACAAUAAAUUAAGUAAUUGUCUGAUUAUAAUUACUUUCACUACUGAUACAGAAACUACAAGAAUUUCAGCAGCUGUCUGACUAAAAAAUUACUUUUACUACUGAUAUUGAAACUACAAGAUAAAAAGUAGUUGUCUGACUGAAAAUUACCAUUACUACUCAGACUAAAAAAAAUAGGUUUAAAAAUUACAAAAUAUUUUGUCUGAUAAAAACUUACUUCUACUACUAAUGAUAAAACUACAGGAAUUUUUGCAGUUGUCUGACUAAAAAUUAAUUUUACUACUGAAACUAAAUAAAUAGUUUUAAAAAUUACAAAAACUAUUCUGCCUGAUUAAAGCUUAUUUUUACUACUUAUAUUGAAACUACAUGAAUUUUUGUAUUUGUCUGUCUAAAAAUUACUUUAACUUCUGAUAUUGAAAGUACAAUAAUAAUUUUAGCAAUUGUUUAAGAA